rnacentral:rRNA from 1 species
GAUGAACGCUGGCGGCGCGCUUAACACAUGCAAGUCGAACGGAAAGGCCUGCUUUCCCUUGUGGAUUGCGGGUACUCGAGUGGCGAACGGGUGAGUAACACGUGAGUGAUCUGCCCCCAACUUGGGUAUAAGCCUGGGAAACUGGGUCUAAUUCCCGAUAGGACUGCAGGGUGGUGCCUGUGGUGGAAAACGAUUUUCUAGUGGUAGGGGAUGAGCUCGCGGCGUAUCAGCUUGUUGGUGGGGUAAUGGCCUACCAAGGCGGCGAAGGGUAGCCGGCCUGGGAGCGUGGACGGCGGCAUUGAGACUGGGACACGGCCCAGACGCGUGCGGGAAGCAGGGGAGGGGCAGAUAUGGCAGUAAGCGGGAGGGUGAAACGGCGACGGAGCGAGGAAGGUGACGGCAUUCGAGUACUAUGUUCCUUUCGAAGAAGAGGAAGGUAAGUGGUUGGAAGGGUCGUGACGGUAGUGGUAGAAGAAGCACCGGCUAACUACGUG